AAUGACUACUAGGGGCGCCGUAGCGGCUGAGAAGUACCCUUUGAACCUGAUCUAGUUAACACUAGCGUAGGAAAGUAGCUAGACACAUCU
rnacentral:ncRNA from 2 species